rnacentral:tRNA from 1 species
UNAAAGAGAUAGGAGUCGAACCU